GUUCAAUCAGCAGCAUACAGAGUUCCUCGAUGCCGUUUCUUCGAGUGGAUUGACUUGGUUUCAAGGAACCCUAAAUGCUGCUGGUGAUUA